rnacentral:misc_RNA from 1 species
CUGAGUUCAUGACCUUACGGGUAGAUCUCCCACCCUUGAAUAUCUAAACCUUUGUUGCUUUGGCGGGCCGCUUCGGCUACCGGCUCCGGCUGGUGGAGUGCCCGCCAGAGAACCUUAAACUCUGAAUUACGGUGUCGUCUGGAGUACUAUAAAAUAGUUA